UACAUACUCCCCCGUCCCAAAAUUCUUGUCUUAGAUUAGUCUAGAUACGGAUGUAUCUAAUACUAGAACGUGACUUGAUACAUCUGUAUUUAGACAAAUCUAAGACAAGAAUUUUGGGACGGAGGGAGUACAAA
rnacentral:pre_miRNA from 1 species